rnacentral:rRNA from 1 species
GACGAACGCUGGCGGCGUGCUAACACAUGCAAGUCGAACGGAAAGGCCCUGCCUUUGUGGGGUGCUCGAGUGGCGAACGGGUGAGUAACACGUGAGUAACCUUCCCUUGACUUUGGGAUAACUUCAGGAAACUGGGGCUAAUACCGGAUAGGAGCUCCUGCUGCUUGGUGGGGGUUGGAAAGUUUCGGCGGUUGGGGAUGGACUCGGGGCUUAUCAGGUUGUUGGUGGGGUAGCGGCUUACCAAGGCUUUGACGGGUAGCCGGCCUGAGGGGGUGACCGGCCACAUUGGGACUGAGAGACGGCCCGGACUCCUAAGGGUGGCAGCAGGGGGGAAUAUUGCACGAUGGGAGGAAGCCUGAUGCAGCAACGCCGCGUGCGGGAUGACGGCCUUCGGGUGGUAAGACGCUUUCGCCUGUGACGAAGCGUGAGUGACGGUAAUGGGUAAAGAAGCACCGGCUAACUACGUG